CCGGGAAGGCGGACCCUCAGCCGCCAGUCGCUGCCGGCCGGCCUGCCACUUGGCUGUCCUCCCCUGACCCGGGGAGACUCUGCUGUGGCCGCCUGUUUCGGUGCUAGCCGCCGUCCGGGCGCGUACUACCGCAAGUCUGUCGGGGAGUAGCCGGAGAUCCGGAGUCCUUGUCUCCAGCCCCUGGGUCAGCCCGCAGGCCGGGGCAAGAUCUGUAAGAGGAUGAGGUACCGGGAGGGCUGUGCGCCGGCCAGGACUGCCGCCUCCACCCCACCUCCCACCGUAUCCGCGACCGACCGUCGGACUGCCAGCGAAUGACAAGUGUCUGGUAACUCUGCCUGUGUGGGGGGCACAGUUUUUCUCAGACCAUGUAAGGCAAAGAAAACAUCCAAAAGAGAAGACAGCUAACGCUAGGUCGAUUGCAGUGAAGAUGAAAGCGCCACGCCACGACCACCUGUUUUCAGCUUUAAAAAUACUGUGUUCUCUAAUGAGUUAGCAAGAAUACUAUAAUGGAUGGGAAGCAGUUUCAGGAGAACUUUAAUUUUGUGAAGAUGCUCAUUCAAUAACUUGAAACCACAGGCUUGAGUAUUAAAAUCUGAGAAGUUACACGUAAAAAGAAUUGUAUAAUAUUUUAAAUUCUUGUUAUAUCCAGAAAUAUCUGGUAUGAGUAAAAGCUUAGUCAUCAGAAGGCUUUUGAGUUGUUUGCAUAAAAAUGAGUAUUGUCACUCUUCAAUGGCACCAAGUACUAUUAGGAAGUAGUUCGCAGUCCUUCAUUUGUCAUAGUGGAAACUGAUAAAAAUGAUUGAACCAACUGGUAAACGUGAGGGAUUUUCAGUUUUCAUCACACUAACCUGGAUUCUGAAAGUUGUUUGAGAAGGGCUUAUUAUUUUUACCACUUUGUUUUUUAUUUUACACUCCUGUGUAUCCCAGAGUGAUCUUGUCUUUGGGAAGUCACUUUACUUUUUUUUUUUUAAGCUGGAAUUCUAUUAUUUCACCCCAGCAAGAUACAGCAGAAAAGUGAAAAUUAAGAGACUAAAAUAUUACUAUGCCUUGAGGGACAGAACAGUAAUCAGUACACAGAAAAAAACGCAGUAGGAAGGGAUUUGGUCAGAAAAUUGGUAAGCCAAAUACAGCCAUAAUAGGCCUCUAAAGAAUAUAUUGGUGCUUGACUAUCCUCUUAGUUGUCAAUGGCAUUCAUCGUUACAGAUACAACUGAAAACAUCACUAGAUUAUGCCAGUGGUAAUGUAUUAAAUAAUAAAAUGUUUUAAAGUUA